rnacentral:rRNA from 1 species
GAGUUUGAACCUGGCUCAGGAUGAACGCUGGCGGCGUGCCUAACACAUGCAAGUCGAACGGAUCCAUACUGAAACCUAGUGAUGUAUGGAUUAGUGGCGGACGGGUGAGUAACGCGUGGAUAACCUGCCGUAUACAGGGGGAUAACACUUAGAAAUAGGUGCUAAUACCGCAUAAGCGCACGGUUCCGCAUGGAACAGUGUGAAAAACUCCGGUGGUAUACGAUGGAUCCGCGUCUGAUUAGCCAGUUGGUGGGGUAACGGCCCACCAAAGCGACGAUCAGUAGCCGGCCUGAGAGGGUGAACGGCCACAUUGGGACUGAGACACGGCCCAAACUCCUACGGGAGGCAGCAGUGGGGAAUAUUGCACAAUGGGGGAAACCCUGAUGCAGCGACGCCGCGUGAGUGAAGAAGUAUUUCGGUACGUAAAGCUCUAUCAGCAGGGAAGAAAAAAAGUCCUUUGGACUUUGGACGGUACCUGACCAAGAAGCCCCGGCUAACUACGUGCCAGCAGCCGCGGUAAUACGUAGGGGGCAAGCGUUAUCCGGAUUUACUGGGUGUAAAGGGAGCGUAGACGGCAGCGCAAGUCUGGAGUGAAAUGCCGGGGCCCAACCCCGGAACUGCUUUGGAAACUGUGCAGCUCGAGUGCAGGAGAGGUAAGCGGAAUUCCUAGUGUAGCGGUGAAAUGCGUAGAUAUUAGGAGGAACACCAGUGGCGAAGGCGGCUUACUGGACUGUAAC